UACGAAGGGGGCUAGCGUUGCUCGGAAUCACUGGGCGUAAAGGGUGCGUAGGCGGGUCUUUAAGUCAGGGGUGAAAUCCUGGAGCUCAACUCCAGAACUGCCUUUGAUACUGAGGAUCUUGAGUUCGGGAGAGGUGAGUGGAACUGCGAGUGUAGAGGUGAAAUUCGUAGAUAUUCGCAAGAACACCAGUGGCGAAGGCGGCUCACUGGCCCGAUACUGACACUGAGAGACGAAAGCUAGGGGAGCGGAAUGGG
rnacentral:rRNA from 1 species